UCGUGGAGUGAUUCGUCUUGUUAAUUCAGUUAACGAGCGAGACCUUAACUUGCUAAUUAAGGUACAGGGACUUCUUCGGUUGUCCGUCGUUUCGUUGAGAAAGUGUAUACUUUCUCAGGAAAUCUGUACUGUCGCUGGUUUACCAGUGAUGCUUCUUAGAGGUACAGCACUCGUCCAGGGUGAGGAAGUUUAAGGCAAUAACA
rnacentral:rRNA from 1 species